rnacentral:rRNA from 1 species
AACGAACGCUGGCGGCGUGCCUAACACAUGCAAGUCGAGCGCGAAAGGAGCAAUCCGAGUAGAGCGGCGCACGGGUGCGUAACACGUGGAUAAUCUGCCUCAGGGUUGAGGAUAACCUUCCGAAAGGUUGGCUAAUACUCGGUAAGCUUACGGUGACUUCGGCCGCUGUGAGAAAACUAGACCUCUAUUUAUAAGUUUAGGCCCAGAGAUGAGUCCGCGGCCCAUCAGCUAGUCGGCGGGGUAACGGCCCACCAAGGCUACGACGGGUAGCUGGUCUGAGAGGACGAUCAGCCACACUGGAACUGAGACACGGUCCAGACUCCUACGGGAGGCAGCAGUGGGGAAUUUUCCACAAUGGGCGAAAGCCUGAUGGAGCAACGCCGCGUGUGUGAUGAAGGUCUUCGGAUCGUAAAGCACUUUCGACUGGGACGAAAAACCUUUGGCUAACAUCCAGGGGCCUGACGGUACCAGGAGAAGAAGCACCGGCUAACUCUGUGCCAGCAGCCGCCGUAAUAC